rnacentral:rRNA from 1 species
GAUUAGAGUUUGAUCAUGGCUCAGAUUGAACGCUGGCGACAGGCCUAACACAUGCAAGUCGAGCGGCAGCGGGAAGUAGCUUGCUACUUUGCCGGCGAGCGGCGGACGGGUGAGUAAUGUCUGGGAAACUGCCUGAUGGAGGGGGAUAACUACUGGAAACGGUAGCUAAUACCGCAUGAUGUCGCAAGACCAAAGUGGGGGACCUUCGGGCCUCACGCCAUCGGAUGUGCCCAGAUGGGAUUAGCUAGUAGGUGAGGUAAUGGCUCACCUAGGCGACGAUCCCUAGCUGGUCUGAGAGGAUGACCAGCCACACUGGAACUGAGACACGGUCCAGACUCCUACGGGAGGCAGCAGUGGGGAAUAUUGCACAAUGGGCGCAAGCCUGAUGCAGCCAUGCCGCGUGUGUGAAGAAGGCCUUAGGGUUGUAAAGCACUUUCAGCGAGGAGGAAGGCGUUGUAGUUAAUAGCUGCAACGAUUGACGUUACUCGCAGAAGAAGCACCGGCUAACUCCGUGCCAGCAGCCGCGGUAAUACGGAGGGUGCAAGCGUUAAUCGGAAUUACUGGGCGUAAAGCGCACGCAGGCGGUUUGUUAAGUCAGAUGUGAAAUCCCCGAGCUUAACUUGGGAACUGCAUUUGAAACUGGCAAGCUAGAGUCUUGUAGAGGGGGGUAGAAUUCCAGGUGUAGCGGUGAAAUGCGUAGAGAUCUGGAGGAAUACCGGUGGCGAAGGCGGCCCCCUGGACAAAGACUGACGCUCAGUCGAAGCG